AUCGCCUCCGUUUCGGUGGCUGCGCGGCUAAGCGAGCGGUGACGAGAACAACGAAGUCAAACCACGUUCCCCGAUUUUUCAAGAAAUUGCUGUCGUGCGCACAAACCAGUCAAGGGGGAAAACAGCAAGAAGCUAGCACCCAUUCCGUUCAUGCCUUAACGGGACUAUGCAACAUGUCGUAUCAGCUGUAAGAGAGGAUCACCAUCAUUGUUAUCAAAUCUUGGCUGCGCCACGAAUGAGACGGCUUUUUUGCGAAGGGACCAGUGCAACUGCAGGAUCACAUGGGAAUGCCAUCAAGGCUGGGACCAGCUGCGCUGGAUAAGCGACCACCUGGAAACACGCUGACUGUUCCGCCAGCAUGAACAAAUCGGAAGUGGCAUUUUGACAUUUCCUGAAAAUGCCGGUUCCAGGAGGUGCCAGUUCGAAUAAUGCGAAGCUUAGGACUCGGCGAGAGACUCGGCGAGCGGUCAACACGGGGGCGCUUCGAGUUGUUUCAGAGGAGCCCGCUGCGAUCGAGAUGGGCGCAUCCGUGCGGCUGUCGGUUCAAUUGUGACCUCACGUGGUUCAAUGAAGACUCCAGCUUCCACGACCCGCUGACCCCUGCCUCUGGCAUUGGACAUAGUGGAUGGGUAUUCUUCAGCAGCACUCGCUUUGGCCUCGCCGCCAGAGGUUCAAAGCUCAACAACGUCUCCAAUGCGUCAACACAAGCCGAGAGACCGCCUACCCGCGUCAGCCUUGCGUUCGGGCCACUCAAAAAUGGUACUGCGAUGACGGGCAACAUCAGAGUCGUCUGUUCCUCGCACAACAUGGAAGCGCCCGCAAGCAAGUCCUACGAGCUCAAGGACGUUUUCACACCCACUGGAGUUGAAACGCGCUUUAUACCACCUGUAGGACUCCCGGAACGACCCGAACAGUGCUAGGUGCACGAAAUAAGCCAUCGCAAGAGAAGCAAUCACCGGACAGUUUAUCGCAGUUAUACAUCCCACGGACAAGGAUAUGCGUGCAGGCGUCAGCCAUUCCCAAAGAAAUGUCCGUGACCACUUACGAGGACAAAUGUGAAUAUUUGUUUUCUUCAAUAGCCUGUGAAUCUUCUUUUGCAUAUUUUCUUCAAAUUUUGUUACGAUGUUCAUCUGCGAUGUAAAAGUUUACUUAAAGUAGAACUAGUGACUCUUAAUAUAUUUGGCAUUAAAAACACACUUUCGAUAACGAAA